GCGGGGGGCGCGGGCAGGUGCGCGGCCCCGGGCCGCAGGAAGGGUGGUCUCGCCCCCAGAGUUGCCGCCGGAGGACAGAAAGUUUUUGCGAGCAGCCCUUGCAGCGCGGCCCCCCUCUCGCCGGGUCCCUGUCGCCCACGGUGAGGCGCCCCUGCGGGGAGCCUGGCGGCUCGGUGGGGAGAAGCCGAGCAGGUUUGCGCCCCCUGCCCCCACCCCGAGCCAGGGCGGAGGAGACCCUGGUGGCCUCGCCUCCCAGCCGUCACCCUCCGCACCCCGUUUUCCCUUUCUCGGUGGACCUGGACCGUGCAGAUUCUGCGGAUGCCGCUGGGAGCUGACAGCAGUGGGUAAAUGUGGAUGUGCAAAGCAGCAUUUGCCACAGGACACUUCAUGACGGAGACUGGGCUGUGUUAGGAAGAUCGCCCGCCGGAAUCUGAACCUCGCUUUAUGGCCAUCGACCUGCCUGAUGACAGCCAGCUUGGAUCUUAGCGAAGCUUCCCCUCAGGUAAUGAAUGCCUAACCCUCAGCAACUACUUGGCCAUUGUGGGCUUCCUUGCUCACACAGACAUCUAGCAAGAAAUCCUGGUGGGGGCUGUGAAAUCCAUCAUCACCACCAAAAAACCCAAGGUCUUUCCACUUUCAAUAUAUGAAGACCCAAAUUAUAUUAUUGGAUGGAUGGUAUUUGUAGACUCAAAGAGAAUGUGAGCUCUCUUAUAGAUAUAAUUAUUAUGUGAUAAUCAAGUAAUGUGGUCUUGUCUUUCUUAUCAUUUGAAUCAUUUACAGACUGUAGCUUUCCUACUCCAGUGAGAAGGCUGACCAGGGCUAAGACACUGAUGCUAGAUAGUUUUUGAAUAUUCUCAAUUUAUAGAUGAUAAAAUUGAUGGUCAGAGGGAAAGUAAAAUAAAGCAUGGCUCCCUCUCACUGGUUUCUUAUAUUCCUAAGUUAUCAAACACCUGGCCCUCACUGUUGCAUAGGUUGUGUCCUGCACAAUUAUACCACUUCUGAGGGAUCACCAUUCAAAUCACAGACAUCAUAUAUUUAUUAUGACAGAUGGCCAUAAAAUGGCUCAUGCUGACAAAUUCAGGAAUAUAACGACUUUUCUAACAGAUGGAAGUAAAGUUUCUUGAAGAAAGUGUACCUUUUCCUAAUGCUCACUAAGGUGCUGGGUGGACUAGCAGAAGGAAUGUUGUUAUUGGCGACUCUUUGUAUUUGUUACCAAUUCAGCUGAGAGUUUUACUUCUUGAUGAAAUAGGAGUCACCCUGUCUUGCUGCUAUGUGUGAUUAGAUGUCAGUAUUUUAGAGUGAUACAGAUUACAGGUAAUGCAUUUGAGUUGGCAGAUUUUCCAAGAUACCUCUUGUGUAUGAGAAAUACAGUGUCUUGUCACAGAGUAAAUAACAUGGCCUUGGUAUCUAAUUUUGGUUGUUCACACUUCAGUUAGGGCUUAAGUCAUCCUAAGUUUGGCUUGGAGAAAGAGACAUGGACGUGUAUAUCAGUUUAGUAAAUUUGGCAUCAAGGAAAUACAAAGAAUGUUUCAAUUACAGAUUGACCCAUGAUUGAUUUAUUAUAGCAAUGCGUGUUGCUUAGGUUGUGAUCGAUCCAAAGUCAUGACAGGUGCUGGACUCUUAGGAGGGUGGGGGCAAAUGUUGGGAAAUUGAUCAAUGACGAGCUCCGCAUUGGCCCUCUACAGGGAGAAUCACAAGUGAAAUAUUGUAGGAUGGGAGUGAUAGUAUUGCACGUGUUAAGGCAGCCUGACCAAACUUCCAUCCCUCGUACCUAUGCAGCCACCUUUAACAUAGGGGAUGCUACUGUGCAACACAGCUGCUCUGUUCUAACUUUGUUCUGAAUGUUUAGUGUGUAUCAUUUCAUGGUGUUUUAAGGGGGGAAAGGCCUCCCCAGUUGCUUCAGUGGAGAAAGCUUUAAUUUUUUCCACUUGUGGAAAUACCCUGGUAUUUAGGGACUUUGGCUAAUUAAAUCAUUGUUUCUUAUAAUGCUUAGUAACUACCCCAAUUUGAGUUGGAGGUGGUACAUAAAGGAAGUGCAAGCCCUCUUUUAUAAUCAGAAUAAGAGAGGUUGACAGACUUACCUUGGCUGGGUGUGUGCCAAGUGCCACGUGGUAUAGACUGAGAGCAGUUGCUUCUCCUGAGGGGCCUACAGUUUAGUUUGAGGGAGCUGUGUGUGCAGUCAAUAAUCGGGCAACAGGAUAGCCUGUGAGAAGGUGCUGAUCUGAAGUGCGGGUAAUAAAUGUCACAGGAGGCUGAGCAGGACAGGUUGCUGUGGUGGGCAGGGAAGGCCAGGGACAGGAGAAACUUGAGCCGGGCAAUAAAAGGCAGGGAGGAUAUAAAUAGUUGGUGGGCAGAGUGACCCAGCCCUGAGGGAUGGGAACAGGGGCCCUCUUAAGUAAGAGCCUGAGGUCACAUAGAUAAUAGUUCCUGAUAUAAAGCCCUUAGUGGAGAUCAGGUAAGUCUCAGGGAGUGUGGAAUCAAGAAGAAUUUAAAAGAGUUGCACAGUGUUUCCAAGAUUAAAAUCUGCACUGUGAGAUAACGUAGCGAAUAAUACAGUGUGUUCUCAGUCAAGUGGUAUAGUUCUUGGAGAAAUACUUUUUAUCAAGAACAAAUCUCCAAAAUUAGGGCUCUGAUGAUCCAAAUGAGCUAAUUAGGUGAGAAAGAUGAACUUUUCAAGAUUCUUUAACCAUCUGGUAGGCAUGUUUAGAAACUACACCCAAUCGUACUGAUAAAAAAGUGUCUCUAUGUUUGUGGUCUGCCCUCUAACACUCCGGCACUGGCUCAUUUUCAGAGACGGGGUCAGCAAAACCUGCAUUUUAAGUAGGCUGACCAGACCGCUGAGCUUGCCUAGGGAGUCCUAGAGUAUGCUGAUCGUCCCACUAAAAUUAUUAAUAGAUUCCUCUUUCAGACUCAAAAGUGUCCUGGUUUAGAUGAUAAAUUAUAUGACUACCCUAGUUCUAAGUGAGGCACUUUGGACUUUUUUGUUUACUCUGUGAAUCCUCAGUGGCCGAAAGGCAUGCUCCUGGCUUAGGGCUGUUUGCCUAUGUGUGCAUCCCGUCUUUUUGAAAUGGCCGUAAUUUUUUCCUUGCAUAGAAAGCAACUGUUGCAAAAUAUUCAGAAGAAAAUAAAAGGUAUAAAUAAAAUCAUUAUCAUAAACCUAGAAAUAAGGGUUAAUAUUUUAAUAUAUAUGCAUGUAUAUAUCUAUGUUUCUCUAUAUAUUAUUUUCCAAUGAUAUAUUUAUAUACUUUUAGGUUCCCACUCUCCAAACCAAGCCAUUUUAUAUAUAUAAUAAAUAUAUAUUUAUAUAUUAUACAUCUAGAACUAUAUAACAUAGUCGAUAUAGAUCAAUAUAAUCACUUUUUAGUAAUCACUUUUAAAGAUUGUAUUCUAGUGAAUGGUUGUUCUUAAAGUAUAAUAUAUAUUUAAUUCUCAAUUUGGGACAUUUAGGUUGUUUCAAUUUUUUAAAUAUAUUAUUGACAGUGCUGUAAUGGAUAUGUUGUGUAGCUAAACCUUUUUGCACAUCCAUGAUUAUUUCUUUAGUAUGCUUUUCUAUAAAUGAAAUUACCAAGUCAAAGGGGAUAUGCAUUUAAAAUUUUGAAAUCGACAAACUUCGCCAAAGUGUAGGAGAAUUCCCACGUCUUCAUAGCCUCAAUGUGUGCUAUAUUCAUCGUUCUUUUUCAUUUCAUUCUGAGGACAGAAUUUCAGUUGUGUCUCUGAUUAUUGAUGAUUUAUAUUUCUUUUUUGUAAAUUGCCCAUUUUUCUAUUAGGGUGUUCAACUUUCACUUAUUGAAUUGUA